AAUGUGGAUUAACAUAUCAAAUUUUAUGACAGUUGUUUUGCUUUGUUUUAUUUAUCUGUAAAACUUUAAAUGGUCAGAUGAGGAUAAGUGUUCUGGACUGUCGUUCAUCUCCCUGCUGCUUUUGGACGGCUCCCCCUGCUGGCGCAGUUUGAUAUCACAGUGUGACAUCAUCAGAGCACGUGACUGAAUGUGCAGUCUUGGCAUGGCUUCACCACAUGUGGAUGUGGCAUCUCCAUCCAGUGUCAUCAGGUGUCCUGAACGUAUUUAGGUGCAAUGCUAAAUGGACCAUUCCAUCGAAAUACUGUGUAACAGGUCCAAGGUCAAAAUCAGUUGAAGACCACAGCUUUAAGAGAUGAUGCCAAGGCCCCCUGAAGACCAGUUCUGCUUCGUGUUCCCCCGUUUCUAACCCUCAGCAGACCUGAACAUCAAAUUGCUGGCCCCAAAAGAAAAUUAAAUUGUCAGGCCUGACAAAACCAGCAUGAGCACUUGGCAGCAAUCAACCACAACAGCAAGCAGCUGAAUGGACCUUACCAUGGCCAAGAG